rnacentral:rRNA from 1 species
UACAGAGGCCUCGAGCGUUAGGCGGAAUCACUGGGCUUAAAGCGUGUGUAGGCGGACUUCUAAGUACCUUGUGAAAUCCCACAGCUUAACUGUGGAACUGCUUGGUAUACUGGUUGUCUUGAGGUACCUAGGGGCGAGCGGAACAAGUGGUGGAGCGGUGAAAUGCGUAGAUAUCAUUUGGAACGCCAAUGGUGAAAACAGGUAGCUGGGGAUGUGCUGACGCUGAGACACGAAAGCCAGGGGAGCAAACGGG